AAUAGCGGGUUAGGGUUGAGAAUUUCGACACUAAAACUUAAAUGGGUUGACACGAACCCGACCCGAAAUUAAAUGGGUUAGGUUAAGGUUGAAAAUUUCAACCCGAAAAUGAUCCACGUAACCCGAAAUUAUUUUCGGGUCAAAAUAAGGUCGGGUCAACCCGAACCCGACCUUAUAACCCAGAAAAAAGUCUUUUUCAAAAAAAAAAAUUCAUUUUGAUAAUUUGAUGGCCCAAGCCCAAUUGAAAGUUUGAAACCUAGAAAAACAUAAAAUCCUAAAAAUAACUAUCAGCUGUUUUCACUCAUAUUUUCACAUUUUCUCUCUCUUAAAACUUCUUAGUGUUCUGGAUUGUUCUCACUCUUUCGUUCUCAACUUCUCCCUCUUCUCACUGAGUCUGAAAACCCUAAUUUCGUUCUCAACUUCUCACUUUUCUUACUCUUCUCACAUUUUUGUCCUCUAAUCUUUCGUUCUCACUCCUCAACGUCUGAAAGCCGUCAAACCUCAAAGUAAUUAUGGAUGCCGAUGUUCAACAACUUUCUUCCGGGGAAGAGGAGGAGAUUGACUCAACAACAAAAGACAAAGGAAAGGGUAAAAACCAGAAAACUUCUUCUGAUAAACCUCGUGUGAUUCUUACUGGUAAGAAAUGUCAACAUCAACUUUCUUCUGAUGUUUGGGUGCAUUUUGAGUUUUUAGACGAGCCUGAUGAAAAUGGUAAUCUAAUUUGCAAAUGUACAAAGUGUGGUAUACGCUUUAAUGCUGAUAGUAAGAAUGGAACUGGGAAUCUUCAUCGUCAUGUGAAAAAUUGCCAACGAUGGUCUUUUAGGGAUGUUGGUUAAAUGAUAUUAGAGAAAACAUCCUCUAGUUUAGGAAAUAGAUUGCGUGAAUUUGAUGCUAAUUAUUUCCGUGAAUUAUUAUCUCUUGCUAUUGUGGAGCAUGAUAUGCCAUUUCAGUUUGUAGAGUUCAGGGGUUUUAGGAGAUGUUUUAAUUAUUUGCAUCCUGAUUUCAAACCUGUCACUCGAAAUACUAUCAAAUCUGAUGUUCUUAAGAUGUAUAAAAGAGAGAAAGAAAAAUUAAAAGCGGUUUUGGGCUCAACUUGUAGUAGAAUUGCAUUGACUUCUGAUUGUUGGACUUCUAUAACCACUAAUGGUUAUAUUUCAUUAACAGCUCAUUAUGUUGACAAGUCUUGGUGUUUGCAAAAAAAGAUCUUGAACUUUUCUUACAUUAGUCCUCCCCCGUACAGGAAUUCAUUUAUGUGAUCAUGUGUAUGGUUUGUUAGAGGAAUGGGGUAUUCAAAAAAAUAUUUUUUCAAUUACAUUAGAUAAUGUUUCUUCAAAUGAUGUUUUUGCUGAAAAUCUAAAAGGGGAACUUGAGUUGAUUAGUGGUGGGGAAUUUUUUCAUGUAAGGUGUUGUGCUCACAUUCUUAAUUUAAUUGUUCAAGAUGGUUUAAAAGAGAUUGAUGAGGCUGUGUAUAAGAUUAGAGAGAGUGCCAAGUAUUGUAAGAGUUCACAAGCUAGGAAACAAAGGUUUUUAAGUUGUGUAUCACAUGUUGAAAUUAAAUCUACUAGAAUUUUACAACAAGAUAUUCCUACUAGAUGGAAUUCAACUUACAUGAUGCUUGAUUGUGAAUUGUAUUUUAAAAAAGCUUUAAUUCACUUUCAAAAAGUUGAUGCCAAUUAUGUGCAUUGUCCUUCUGCCGAAGAAUGGGGUAGAGUUGAGAAAAUAUGCAAGUUUUUGAAAGUUUUCCAUGAUGUCACACUUGCCUUUUCUGGGACCAAAUAUCCAACUUCCAAUCUCUACUUUCAUUGAGUCUUGCAAGUUAGGUUGUUGUUACAAAGUGAAAUGAAAAGUUCAGAUCUUUUUAUGCAAAAAAUGGCUUGUAAGAUGUAUGAGAAAUUUGGAAAGUAUUGGUCAGAAUUUAGUACAUUUAUGGUUGUUGCUGUUGUGUUGGAUCCACGAUAUAAGUUGUAAUGUGUCAAUUGGGAUUACAUGAGGAUAUAUGGUCAACAUAGUGUUGAAUAUGAGCUUAAGUUUUCUAAGGUUAAGGACGCUCUACGGAGGUUGUACGAGGCUUAUGCAUCUUGUCAUUCUUCAUCAAGCAAAGCUAUUCCCACUACUAAUGCUUCCAAUGCUGCAAAUGAAGCUUCUGAUGAUUUUAUGAUGGAUUUUGAUAGUUUAUCUAUGGAGCAAUCAAAUCUGAAAUUGAUAUGUAUUAUGAGGAGCCCUUUAUCCCUCGAGGCACCGACCUUGAUAUUUUGUCUUAUUGGAGAACUUGUUCGGUCCGAUAUCCUAUAUUAGCUAAUAUUGCUAAGGAUGUUCUUGUUGUCCCCGUAUCAACCGUGGCCUCCGAAUCAGCAUUUAGUACUGGGAGUCGGGUGCUUGAUUGUUAUAGAAGUUCUUUAAAAUCAGAAACGGUGGAGGCUAUAAUUUGCUUAAGGGAUUGAGAUUUUGGGGAAGAUAAUAUGGAUCCUCAAAUGGCAAUGCUAUGUGGAUCCGUUAUGAAGCUUAAGGUGGGGGACAACGAUGACACACCACAAACCUCGCCGGAACUUGAAGAAUUUGAUGAGAAUGGUUCUUCGAACAUUGUUUGAGUCAUGAAGACUAUUAAGUUUAUUAAAAAACAUUUAUUUCUUUUUAGUUGUGGUUUGUAAUUUGUUAAGACUAUUUUGGUGUGUAAUAGUUAAUUAGGCAUUUUAGACUUAACUUUAUUUGGUUUUCUUGAAAAUUUGAAGUUUAGAAAUCAGGUUUGAAAACAUUAAGUAAAUAAAUCAGGUUUUGUUAACUGUUUGAAAACACAAAAUCUGGCUAAAAAUUAGUUUAUUCAGGUAAAAAAAAAAUUAAAAAAAAAUAACAAAAAUCAGGUCAAAUCAGGUUGUUUUCGGGUUGACCCGAACCUGAAAAUAUCAGGUUCAGGUUGGGGUUUUCAACCCGAAAACUUAAAUGGAUCAAGUUCAGGUUGGGGGUUUUCUGACCCGAAACCCGAAAACCCGAACACGAACCCGACCUGAUCCGUUUGCCACCCCUGCCUGUGGCUGUGGUAGGAGGGGCACCCCCCAUAUUAAUAUAUAUAUAUAUAAAAAAAAAAAUCAUUGAAAAGAUAGGAGAGCAUAUGAAUUCUUCACUUACAAGAAAAAUUUAAGCUAAAUUUCCUAAUGAUGCCUUUAUAAUUCAUAUUUAUAAAUAUAUUUUCCUAUCUUCCCUUUGGCUUUUGGUUUUGUUGCAUAGAUUAGGGAUCACUAUAGAAAAGCUCCAUUUUAAAAACCUUAUCCUACUUUAUCAAAUCACUGGUAUUUAUAUAUAUAAUUGACGCAAUCAAUCUAAUACAAUCAGGAUAUCUUACAUACGAGUGUAUUUGUAUACAACUUGUUUAUCCCUCUUGAUUCUUACAGCUUCGAUUCCAAACCACAUAAAACUACACCAAUCCCUAAACACCAAAAAAGAAAAAAAAAA